GGGCGCAAGCCUGAUGCAGCCAUGCCGCGUGUAUGAAGAAGGCCUUCGGGUUGUAAAGUACUUUCAGCGGGGAGGAAGGGAGUAAAGUUAAUACCUUUGCUCAUUGACGUUACCCGCAGAAGAAGCACCGGCUAACUCCGUGCCAGCAGCCGCGGUAAU
rnacentral:rRNA from 1 species